rnacentral:rRNA from 1 species
CAGUAGCCGCGGUAAAACGUAGGGUGCAAGCGUUAAUCGGAAUUACUGGGCGUAAAGCGUGCGUAGGUGGUGGUUUAAGUCCGUUGUGAAAGCCCUGGGCUCAACCUGGGAAUUGCAGUGGAUACUGGGUCACUAGAGUGUGGUAGAGGAUAGUGGAAUUUCCGGUGUAGCAGUGAAAUGCGUAGAGAUCGGAAGGAACAUCUGUGGCGAAGGCGACUAUCUGGGCCAACACUGACACUGAGGCACGAAAGCGUGGGGAGCAAACAGGAUUAGAGACCCGCGUAGUCCCUGUCUCUUAUAC